GUGCAGCGCCCCCACAGGCCAGGAGGGGAACAGGUUGGUUUGGGUCAGAACCACAGCAGCUGGAGGUGGAGCAGAUGAUGGAGUUCUGGUUCUGGAAUCGGGUCCACUGGGCAAUCAGGUGCAGAAACGCUGCCACCACCAGCUGGCUCUUGGCUGAUGUGUUUCUCAUCCUGCGCUGCAGGAUCAUUAGAGAGCAGACAGUCGCUGCAGAUUUCCAUCCUCUCAGCAGGUGAUGGCAGCGAUCCGGGCAGCAGCUUCCUCACGCUCUGCUCCCCUGCUGCAUUCUGACACGCUGCCAACAACUCUGCUCUGCAACACUUUUAACAUCAGUAACACCUGAACACUGACCCAAACCGUCUCGAAACCUUUGAUGCUACAACCAAGAACUGAGUUCAACAACAGUAACAGGUGGAUUUUCUAUUAAAAAACAAUUUCUGAACUAA